GACGAACGCUGGCGGCGUGCCUAAUACACGCAAGUCGAGCGGAGUGAAUAGAAGUGCUUGCUCUUCUAUUCACUCAGCGGCGGACGGGUGAGUAACACAUAGGUAACCUGCCUGUAAGACUGGGAUAACUACCGGAAACGGUAGCUAAUACCGGAUAAUUUGUUUCCUCACCUGAGGAGACACUGAAAGGCGGAGCAAUCUGUCACUUAUAGAUGGGCCUGCGGCGCAUUAGCUAGUUGGUGAGGUAACGGCUCACCAAGGCGACGAUGCGUACCCGACCUGAGAGGGUGAACGGCCACACUGGGACUGAGACACGGCCCACACUCCUACGGGAGGCAGCAGUAGGGAAUCUUCCGCAAUGGACGAAAGUCUGACGGAGCAACGCCGCGUGAGUGAUGAAGGUUUUCGGAUCGUAAAGCUCUGUUGCCAGGAAAGAAGAUUUGGGAGAGUAACUGCUCUCAAAGUGACGGUACCUGAGAAGAAAGCCCCGGCUAACUACGUGCCAGCAGCCGCGGUAAUACGUAGGGGGCAAGCGUUGUCCGGAAUUAUUGGGCGUAAAGUGCGCGCAGGC
rnacentral:rRNA from 1 species